GGAAUAUAAAUUAAAUAUAAUUUUUUAAUUUUUGUUUUUACAUUAUUUAUAUUGCUCUAAACAAUGUAAAAACUAUUUUUUUCCUAAAAAAUUUUUUUCCUCAGGUCUUAAGAGGUUAAAACUACGCUUACCCUUUCAAUUCACAUUUGCUAUACCCCCACUCUCCAAGUCAAGAUGUCUUUGGCCACCAAACAACACUCUAUUCUUUAACUAAAUGUGUCAGACCUUUGAUGAGUCAUAAGCCAACAUCAAAGUUCCAUAUAUGUCAUGCACCUACCUUUUAUCUAACUUUUCGACCCACAGCAUCAUCUUGUUCACUUGAGACUUCAAAAUUGUUACAAAGCCAACCCCUGCCCACUCCGACAACUCCUCCCAAGUCUUUGACUCUGACUCUUCCCUUUAUAAUCCCCACUACAUCUAUAUGUUAAAAGCUACAUUCCUCACCACUGAACUACUGUCUUAAACUCUCCUGCCCAUACAUCAGUUCCAAACAAAUUGCAUCUAUGGAUCUACAAGGUAAUGGCACAUAUCAAUUCCACAUUUAAUAACCUUUGUAACAUUAUAUACUGUUUCCAAAAUAGUUAACACUCUAUUUUUGUCUCUAUAGGACACACAUCCAACGCAAAUUUAACAACUACUAUCUCCAAAAGAUCCUUUAUCAUACCCCAAGGACUGCACAUCUGCUUCCUCACAGACUCAAUAUGUCGAGAUAUUAAAGACUACAUGCCAAAUGCACAAUGCUGGGU
ensembl:lncRNA